rnacentral:rRNA from 1 species
AAUGCCAGGGGGCGCAAUGUGCGUUCAAAGAUUCGAUGAUUCACGGAAUUCUGCAAUUCACAUUACUUAUCGCAUUUCGCUGCGUUCUUCAUCGAUGCCGGAACCAAGAGAUCCGUUGUUGAAAGUUUUAAUGAUUUAAUCAUAGACUCAGACUCAC